ensembl:lncRNA
AUAACUUAACUGGUUCUUGGAUCUUAACAUUUUCCUCUAUUUGCUUUAGAUUUUUUUUUUAAAGAAGUAAAACACUGUGGGGUUGAACCCUCUGUGUACCCGUUUCUUUCCCACCCCCCUUCAUUCCUCAGAGGUAAAUACUAUCUUGAAGAUGUUUGUUUUCAUAAAUAAUGUAAUUGUUUUGCGUAUUUUUAAACUUUCGAUAUACACUAUACUGCAGUGCACUCUUGCAGUAUGAUUUUUUUCCUCAACAUUUUUCUGUUGCAUGGCUGUACCAUAGUUUAUUUACCUUUUCUCCUUUGGUUGAUUAUUAGGUAGUUUUCAAUUUUUUUUUUUUAAUCAUUAAACAAUGCUGCAAUGAACUUUCCUGAACAUGUUUCUUGUGAAUAUGUUUGAGAUUCUGUAGAGAGAAUGUAGGGUGUGUUUGUGUUUGUAUAGGAUUGGAAUCACUGGUUGAAUAGUAUAUGGCUCUUCAGCUUAGAAAAGUAAUAAUGGCAUUACUUACUAAAGAAUACCAAUUUAGACAUUACUGUUAAGAGAACAAGAGUUUUACUGUCCUACCUUUCUUCCACCAAGUUUAGCAUUAUCUGAAAUGGAAUUCAUCAGGUUCUGCAUGGUGAGCAGUUACUGGGUUCAGCAAUUUCUCUGGUCAGCUCUAGAAGCACUUGGUAUGGGUAAAGAGACAUUUAUACAUACUGUCAAAGGAAAAGGCUUCCGAAACCGUGUGGCUCAGGAUCUGUGGCUAACUCACUCUUAAAAGGUCACUUGUAGUUCAUUUGACCAGUUUAGUUGAAAAAUAGCAGAUUUUAAUUUUUUUAAAACAAUAACACUGUCACGUAAGCAUUGGUAAUAAUCUUCGCUGAAAGUGAAAGUGAAGUUGCUCAGUCAUACAUGACUGAGUGGACAGCACUUAGAAGAGCAUGGAAAAACAGUCAUCAGAGAAGUAAAUAUAAACCACAAUGAGAUACCACACUUCAUACCCAUUGUGAUGGUUAGAAUUAAAAAGAUAAUAACAAGCGUUGAUAGGAACUUGGAAGAAAUCAGGAAUUUCAUAUACUACUGGUGAGAAUGUAAAAUGGUACAGCUACUUUUGAAAACAUUCUGGCCAUUUCUUGGAUAUCCCUCUCAACUCCUUCAAGUCUUGCUCAAAUCUUGUUUCCAGUAAAGUGGGGGGUGGGGAGUGUGUGUCUACCUGUAUCAUCCCUAUUUAGUAUCACAAUUUUCCCCUUCCCCUCCUCUUCACUGAGUCCUCAUCUCUGUUUACCCUGCUCCCAAAUGUAUUACCUUCUAACAUACUGUAUUAUUUACCUGUUUCAUUGUGGUUAUAGUUUGCUUCUCCCCAUUGGAAUAUAAGUUCUACGCAAGCAGGAUAGAAGGAUGCCUGCUGCUUCUAUCUUCUUCUAGAUAAAGUAGCCUCUCAUUAAAUAUUUGUUGAAUGAAUGAACAAAAGCUGGACAGACUUCACAUCUCAUGUUCUUAAUCAUUGUGAUACACAGUCUCUAACAUUUAUUAUUGAGUUUUAAUAAUGACUUGUUUUUGUUUUGUGACUCAGUAACUGAAUUGUACUGUAAUUUGUUAAACUAUUUCUUGUCAUCUAGUUUAUUUCUGAAGGAUGGAAUCAUUCAUUCCGCAAACAUUUAGCAGCCUUUAGUGUUAAGUAUUCUGUGCCAGCCUCAUAAUGAUGAAGAAAACAAGGACGUUGUUCCCAGACUAUAGUGGCAGUAGAUAACAUCAACGGUGAUUAUAGUGAUGCCUGAUAAGGGCAUACAUGAGAAGCAUUUUGAAGGUACAAAAAGAGUAUACAAGAUGUAGUACACAACUCUGUGGGAGCUUGAAGUUGGGUUCUGAUUUGGGGAUGGUGUAGAAACAGGAAGAGGAAGGAUACUUGAAUAAGAUGCAGUAAUCAUGAGGGAUGGUUUUGCCCAGGUAUUAAAGUAGAUUGGAAAAGGGCUUAAGAUUGCUAAAGAUGGAAAGGGUGAAGUAAAACCUUAAUCAUUAGCAAUAUAAUAAUAUUCUGCAGUAAUUUGUAAUUUAAUGCAUCAUUGGAGUAAGAUUCUUGCUUUUAGAGAUCUGAAAGGGGUAAUGCAUUUACCUUUAAUUAUCUUAAAACACAUAGUACUCAUACUCUUAGGAGAGGGUAGGAUUGAGUAUUUAGAAUUCUUUUAAGCUGCCAACAGUGGGUAUUAUAAGCAAUAGUUGUAGAAAUGAGCACUUUUUGAAAGCUUAUCAUAUACUAGGCAGCACUGUAAACAUUUUACAUGUGUUGAUUCAGAAUACUGUAUUUUACAUUUGUUUAUAUAUAUAUGGGCAAGUCAUGAUUAUCUAUAGGCA